AUUUUCUUGAAAUUUAAAAGAUUUGGCGGUAAUUUAGUCUAGUCAGAGGAACCUGUUUAUGUUGAUUGAUACACCACGUUAUAUCUUACUUAUUCUAUUGUUUGUAUACCGUCAUUAUUAGAUAAUUUUAUUAUAAAAUUAAAUUAUUAAAAUUAAAAAUUAGUUUAUAAAAAUUAGAUCAUGGUGCAGCUGAUGAAUAAGUUUAAAUGGGUUACAAUAAAAUUUAUUUAUAAAUGGAGUAAUAAGUUGAAAAGCAGUUAUGAAAGUGGAUUUGAUUGUAAUGUAAAUUUAAUAAGUUUAGGUGAUAGAAGCUCUAAAUUAUGUACACAUCGCC
rnacentral:rRNA from 1 species